rnacentral:rRNA from 1 species
CUGGAGGUAUCAGAAGUGCGAAUGCUGACAUAAGUAACGAUAAAGCGGGUGAAAAGCCCGCUCGCCGGAAGACCAAGGGUUCCUGUCCAACGUUAAUCGGGGCAGGGUGAGUCGACCCCUAAGGCGAGGCCGAAAGGCGUAGUCGAUGGGAAACAGGUUAAUAUUCCUGUACUUGGUGUUACUGCGAAGGGGGGACGGAGAAGGCUAUGUUGGCCGGGCGACGGUUGUCCCGGUUUAAGCGUGUAGGCUGGUUUUCCAGGCAAAUCCGGAAAAUCAAGGCUGAGGCGUGAUGACGAGGCACUACGGUGCUGAAGCAACAAAUGCCCUGCUUCCAGGAAAAGCCUCUAAGCAUCAGGUAACAUCAAAUCGUACCCCAAACCGACACAGGUGGUCAGGUAGAGAAUACCAAGGCGCUUGAGAGAACUCGGGUGAAGGAACUAGGCAAAAUGGUGCCGUAACUUCGGGAGAAGGCACGCUGAUAUGUAGGUGAAG